UACUUGUCUGUGAAAUUAUGAAUGGGAUGUGUGUGUGUGUGUGUGCAUAUAUGUGAGAGAAAGAAAAAGGGAGGGAUGGAAAGACACUGCAUCGUGAAAGGAGAAGGAUUCACUAACUCACUGCUCACCUUCACAGACAGACAGGAGAAGGGCAGCUGCGCAGCUAGAUCAGUUCGUGUUUGAGGAGACACUCAGUCUGAGCUCACGACUAAAUCAUGGAUCAGAAGUCCACUUCACCCCAGAGACAUGCGGUGAAAAGCAGGUCGAAGUCUACAGAGGAAGUCCAGCAAGCGAAAAAGGCCUUCCACAUCCCCCAGAAAUCACUGCCUGGAGGGUCAGAGCUGGAAAAGGUGAAGGAGGGACCAGAAGAAAAUGUGACUCCAGCAUCAUCCACAGAAGAGCUAAAGUGAUGCUGCCAUUAAUCUGUGUUUCUCUCUCACACAAACACACACAUAAUGAUAAAUGUUUGGUUUUAAAAACAAGGUUUGGUAUAGUACAGUUAAAGCAUUAGCUCCUUCUUUUGUUGGAUUUUCAGUACAGCUCAACACACGUGCAAUUAUGAAAUCUGUCGAUCUGCAGCACGUUCAGUCUGCAUCUCUGUACACUGACAGUACAGAUACAAACACAAAAAAAUUCUAUAAACACAAUGCUUUCACUAUGAACAUAAGGGCAUGUCUGCUUUUACAGUAAAGAAGCUCAAGUUAAAUUUAAAUCCAUUUAAAUUAAUAGUAUCUUUGCUAUUUUUUAUUACCUCAUCAUAAUUGGGCAGGACAAUUUCUUCGCAGCCAGUAGGUGCUGCUGUUAGUGUGUAAAUUUUGGCAGUCAUAUUGAUAUUUUGGGUGUCUGACAUCAUAAAUCUACAGAGCCCCUAA